UACGUAGGUGGCAAGCGUUGUCCGGAUUUACUGGGCGUAAAGAGCGCGCAGGCGGUCGUUCAAGUCGGGUGUGAAAGCCCCCGGCUCAACUGGGGAGGGUCACGCGAUACUGAUCGACUCGAAGGCAGGAGAGGGUAGUGGAAUUCCCGGUGUAGUGGUGAAAUGCGUAGAUAUCGGGAGGAACACCAGUGGCGAAGGCGACUACCUGGGAUGUUUCUUGACGCUGAGGCGCGAAAGCUAGGGGAGCAAACGGG
rnacentral:rRNA from 1 species